rnacentral:rRNA from 1 species
UACAGAGGUCCCAAGCGUUGUUCGGAUUCACUGGGCGUAAAGGGUGCGUAGGCGGUCUGGUAAGUCUUGUGUGAAAUCUUCGGGCUCAACUCGAAGUCUGCACGAGAAACUGCCGGGCUUGAGUAUGGGAGAGGUGAGUGGAAUUCCCGGUGUAGCGGUGAAAUGCGUAGAUAUCGGAAGGAACACCUGUGGCGAAAGCGGCUCACUGGACCAUUACUGACGCUGAGGCACGAAAGCUAGGGGAGCAAACAGG